CACAAAGAGACGGGCUGAGGACGGAUUGAUUUCCGUAUUUUGGAUUUAGCUAGUAGCGGAUUAGUUUUUAGACCAGACGUGUGUUAGUGUAUGUGAGUGUGUGUGCAGUGUUUGUAGUACUGUUGUUAGUUUCAAAAUGAGUCAUCAUUUGACUGUGGAGGAAGGUCUGAAGUUCUGCGCUUCAGCUUGAUGAAGAAAACAAGGAAGAGGAGUAAGACGACGCGCCGGUGGACUUCAGACUCGAAGGUGAGGGGAAAAAAGGGGUUUUGUUCAUCUGGCCUGAAAGAGGAGGGAAGAAUCCAGUUUCCAGGAAGUGGCGAAGCUCCAGGAAGUGUAGAAUCCAAAGAUCCGUAGUGGCAAAAAAUCCAAAGAGCUGUCCUUGGGCACAAAAUGUCUUGACAUGGGAACCUUUAAGAGAGGAGGUAGGUACAGGCUAAAAGCCACUACCAAACCAGUGUGAUGCUUCAGCAUCAACCCAACUGUCAAGUGAUCCUUAUAAAGCCCAGGAUCUCAUUAGAGGAACAGCCAACAGGUGGGUUAAUCAGCACCAGAGGAGCCACAGGAAAACAACAAUCAUGACAGUACCAUCCUGCUACAAUCGUCUCCUGAUGAUCUAACCCUCUUCUCUGGAUGGGACCUGUAAAAAUCAACAAUUAAAAAUGGGUCAAGAAUAGAGGCUCUCUGGACCCAGGAACGUUCAUCCGGGCUGUAACCCUCCCAAUCCA